CCGAGCCUUCGCGAAGAACUCGUUCAUCUACCAUUAAAACAAACAACUGCAAAAAAGAAGCAGGAAAUAUGUCCACAGCUAGAGCUGGGG
rnacentral:sRNA from 12 species